rnacentral:ncRNA from 2 species
CAAAGGCCUGGUCCCGACUUUACUAUCAGCUUUAGCCCAAUCUAUACAUGCAAGUAUCCGCACCCCUGUGAGAAUGCCCUCAAUCCCCCGUCCGGGGACGAGGAGCUGGUAUCAGGCACACCUUCUUAGCCCAAGACGCCUUGCUACGCCACACCCCCAAGGGAACUCAGCAGUAACAAACAUUAAGCCAUAAGUGAAAACUUGACUUAGUUAGGGCCAAGAGGGUCGGUAAAACUCGUGCCAGCCACCGCGGUUAUACGAGAGACCCUAGUUGACUGACACGGCGUAAAGAGUGGUUUAGGAAACAACGAAAAUUAAAGCCAAAGUUCUUUCGAGCCGUCACACGCACCCCGAAGAUACGAAGCCCUAACACGAAGGUAGCUUUAUUAUUUACCUGACACCACGAAAACUGAGAAACAAACUGGGAUUAGAUACCCCACUAUGCUCAGCCUUAAACCCAGAUGUCAUAUAUACAAAUACAUCCGCCAGGGUACUACAAGCGCUAGCUUAAAACCCAAAGGACUUGACGGUGUCUCAGACCCACCUAGAGGAGCCUGUUCUAGAACCGAUAACCCCCGUUAAACCUCACCACCCCUUGUUUCCUCCGCCUAUAUACCGCCGUCGCAAGCUCACCCUGUGAAGGUUCAAUAGUAAGCAAAAUGAGUACAUCCCAAAACGUCAGGUCGAGGUGUAGCUCACGAGGUGGGAAGAAAUGGGCUACAUUUUCUCCUAGCAGAAUAUUACGAACAGCACCAUGAAAUCUAGUGCUCGAAGGUGGAUUUAGUAGUAAAAAACAAAUAGAGAGUCUUUUUGAACCAGGCUCUGAGACGCGUACACACCGCCCGUCACUCUCCCCACCACCCCCUACAACACGUAAAUAACCACACAAACUAUGAACCGGGGAGGCAAGUCGUAACAUGGUAAGUGUACCGGAAGGUGUACUUGGAACAU